GCUUUUUCCGAAAAGGAGAAGAGGCGGAGCGCGUGGGUUGGCUUUUUCCGAAAGAGGAGAAGAGGCGGAGCGAAUGGGCUGGCUUUUUCUGGAAGAGGAGACGAGGCGGAGAGAGUGGAUUGUGCGCGUGAAACAAAAUCAAGCAGUCAAAGAAGAAAUGGACCAAGCAAAAAGGAGAAGAUUGGAGGGUUAACAUCCAAGUGAGGCUUCAAAGUGCAGGUUUGAUGUGCUAGAGAUCUGUGUUCAGCAGAGUGGAGGAAUGAGGCGCUGGAGAUUUCUCUAUCUUGCUUUCCUCUCGCAGGAGCACUGGCCAACCUACAGUACACGAUAAAACAAAUCCAGAUUGGGCACCAACACUCAAAUUAGGACACGAUAAGAUCAAGACGAAAACUCAUCUUGCAGUAUCAAGAAGCAACAGGAUAAAUGAAAGAUCUGACAAGAAAGCCAGAUCAGAAGCAGCGGAAACCUUAGCGAGUUUGGAUACGCAAGGAGAACAAUGUGGGUCAACUUUGCCAGUGUGGAAGAAGAUCUCUUGAGGAUAAGAUCACUGUGAUGACUGAGCUGCCAGGCGUGAUGGUCUCGCAGGGAGUGUGU